CAGCCGCCGCGGUAAUACGUAGGGUGCGAGCGUUAAUCGGAAUUACUGGGCGUAAAGCGUGCGCAGGCGGUUGUGUAAGACAGGUGUGAAAUCCCCGGGCUUAACCUGGGAACUGCGCUUGUGACUGCACAGCUAGAGUAUGGCAGAGGGGGGUGGAAUUCCACGUGUAGCAGUGAAAUGCGUAGAGAUGUGGAGGAACACCGAUGGCGAAGGCAGCCCCCUGGGCCAAUACUGACGCUCAUGCACGAAAGCGUGGGGAGCAAACAGGAUUAGAUACCCGUGUAGUCCCUGUCUCUUAUAC
rnacentral:rRNA from 1 species